AUUGAACGCUGGCGGCAGGCCUAACACAUGCAAGUCGAACGAGUGGCGGACGGGUGAGUAAUGUCUGGGGAACUGCCCGAGGGAGGGGGAUAAAUACUGGAAACGGUAGCUAAUACCGCAUACCAUCGGAUGUGCCCAGAUGGGAGUAGCUUGUAGGUGAGGUAACGGCUCACCUAGGCGACGAUCCCUAGCUGGUCUGAGAGGAUGACCAGCCACACUGGAACUGAGACACGGUCCAGACUCCUACGGGAGGCAGCAGGGGGGAAUAUUGCACAAUGGGCGCAAGCCUGAUGCAGCCAUGCCGCGUGUAUGAAGAAGGCCUUCGGGUUGUAAAGUACUUUCAGCGGGGAGGCGUUACCCGAAGAAGAAGCACCGGCUAACUCCGUGCCAGCAGCCGCGGUAAUAA
rnacentral:rRNA from 1 species